AGAGUUUGAUCCUGGCUCAGAAUCAACGCUGGCGGCGUGCCUAACACAUGCAAGUCGAACGCGAAAGCCCUUUCGGGGGUAAGUAGAGUGGCGUCCGGGUGAGUAACACGUGGGUAAUCUGCCUUCGGGUGGGGAAUAACUCAGGGNAAACUUGAGCUAAUACCGCAUAAUGCAGCGGCACCUAAUGGUGAUUAGUUGUUAAAGCGGGGGAUCGCAAGACCUCGCGCCUGAAGAGGAGCCUGCGGCAGAUUAGCUAGUUGGUGAGGUAAUGGCUCACCAAGGCUUCGAUCUGUAGCUGGUCUGAGAGGACGGCCAGCCACACUGGCACUGACACACGGGCCAGACUCCUACGGGAGGCAGCAGUGGGGAAUUUUGGGCAAUGGGCGAAAGCCUGACCCAGCAACGCCGUGUGAGGGAGGAAAUCCUUCUGGAUGUAAACCUCACAAGCAAGGNGAAGAGAGCUACGGGCUGAAUAAUCCCGUAGUGCGACGGUACCUUGCGUCAGCCACGGNCUAACUACGNUGCCNGCAGCCCGCGGUAAUACGUAGGUGGGCAAGCGUUGUUCGGAAUUAUUGGGGCGUAAAGGGCGCGUANGCGGUUUGUUNAGUCGGGUNGUGNAAAGCCCGGGGCUCAACCCCGGAAUGGUCAGGCNAUACUGGCANNACUANAGUACGGNAAGAGG
rnacentral:rRNA from 1 species